AUCCCCUAUUUCAUCAUUAUUCUGUGAAAAUUUACCUCUAUUUGACUCCCUUAUCAUGCUUAUAGAGAUUUUAUCAACUUUCAUGGGAUUUCAUCGUCAACUUUGGAAAUUGAAUAAGGAAUCCUAGGAGUGCAAUUCGCCAAAUUGGAGCAAAUUACGAGUGCAACUCAAAGGGCAUUUGCCAUCAAUACUAUAUGGAGUAAGUUUUUCCUUAAAUUUAGUCAAGAAACAACCUUUUGCUACAUCUAAAUCGCAAGUUUCUCUUAGUGUGUGUUCUUGGUGUAGUGUGUGAACAUUUUUGGGAAAUUUUUGGACCGAAUUUUGUGUGACUUUUGUGGUUGAAUUGGUUUCAUCUGCGGUGUUGGUGCGUCUUUUCUUGUUGCUAAAUUAAUUCAGUAAAAAUCUAUUUUUGUUGGAUAUAGUUGUGGUGGUUGGGGUGUAGUUCGUCUCCCUUAUCCUUGUGCCAUUAAUGUUUUUGAAAUUGUGCUACUGCUAUUGUGGGUUAUUGGUGCUCUUUGGUUAGCUUUAACCUCGCAUGUAGGAGUUGGUAAUAGUGGUGUUCCUCCACGGUAUAUUGCCAAUUGGUGUCCUUGGACUUACAAGAUGCCUCCUAGAAUUAAAAAUGCUAGCAACACAAGAGCCUCACAUAAGCGAGUAAGAUCUACUAGAGAUGAGGGUAGUUUGCGUCAACCCUCAUUCGACACUAUUCACUUUUCUAAUGUGGAAAAUGAGUAAUGGUACUUAGAUAGGUUUAAUAAUACUGUGUUAGUAGAAAUUGAUAUGGAUGAUACUUUUGACACCUAAUAUCACUUCAGUGAAUUAUUUGCUACCGUGGGUUAGGAGAGAAUGCUAAAUCUGCCUGUUGAGUAUUACUUCGGGUUGUCAGUUUUAUGCUAAUAUGGAGUAUAAAACCUAGUUUAGUACUUUGAUUGUCGAUAGUUAUGUCAAAGGGUAACGAACAUCCUUUAAUUGCCAAUUUUUGACUGAUCUCUUAGGUGCUAGAAAUGACGGUCCACCUUUCGAACAUAGGAAGACAUCGAUUGUUUAUGAUUCAGAAUAGAUGUUUGAAACUUCUCUGCAUAAGUUUUGCUAUGGGUGGAGAUUUCGCGAGAGUGGUGGGUAGUGAAAGAUCGUUCCUAUGUGCCUAUGAGUUUCUUGAGUGCUUGAUGUAGUCUAUUGGUUUACUUGCUUAAUCAUAAUGUUAUGUUUGCGUCGAGUAGCAAGAAUGUGAUGCGAGUGGUGGACUGCUAUCUCAUCGACAAAUUGGAGAAUGGCUUAGGUGAGCUAGCAGGGAUACCCUUAGCCACUAUCGUUUUAGGCACCAUGACCAACACCACUCGUUAUAACCAUAAGGAUAAGGUAUUUUCAUAUGCUCGCUUACUAACUCUGGUUUUUCAACAUUUUGGUAUCGAUUUUCAGGGGGAAGCUAGGGAGGUAUAUCAUUUGAGCCACAAUUUGACUGUAUCUACUCUCAAUCACAUUGCCUAUGCUAAGGAUGCAGAUGGGCAUGAUAGCGAUGAGGAGGCGAAUCUCGAAGGCCAAGACAAAGCAAAUAUAGGAGCCGGAGAGAGGUCAUCGCAUCAAGCUCAAGCCUUGAGCAUUCAAUAUCUCCUUCACACGGUGCUAGCUAAGGUGUGGGGUACAAGGGAAGUGGUGGAGCGAUUGAAGGGUCGCGUGACCAGCAUUGACGAGGAGUUGGCCAGUUGGCGCCCAUAUAGACAGGGCCCCUCUUGAAUUUCCUUUUUCGUUUCCAUUUAGUAGCUCUUUGUUAGUAGUUCUUUUCGCUAGUGUUGGUGAUUGUCCAGCAGAUUUUUAGUGGUGUUUAACUCCUAUUUGUAGUGUUUCUUGGUGCGUUGGAGGGCUACUUUGUAGCAGCCUUUUUUCAUUGUAUCUCUUGGUUGUGCAUUGUUCGUGGAUUACUCUCUAUCACCCUCACAGGGAAGUUACACAUUCUUUUCCUUUGUUCUUUCCCUUCCUCGCAGUAUUAUUUCUUUGCUUUGUCCCCAACAUUGCGGACAAUGUUGUCUUAAGUAUGUGGGGGGGAACAAAUUGUUGU
rnacentral:lncRNA from 1 species